rnacentral:rRNA from 1 species
UGGGGAAUCUUGGACAAUGGGGGCAACCCUGAUCCAGCCAUGCCGCGUGAGUGAUGAAGGCCUUAGGGUCGUAAAGCUCUUUCGCCUGUGAAGAUAAUGACGGUAGCAGGUAAAGAAACCCCGGCUAACUCCGUGCCAGCAGCCGCGGUAAUACGGAGGGGGUUAGCGUUGUUCGGAAUUACUGGGCGUAAAGCGCACGUAGGCGGACCAGAAAGUUGGGGGUGAAAUCCCGGGGGCUCAACCCCGGAACUGCCUCCAAAACUAUUGGUCUAGAGUUCGAGAGAGGUGAGUGGAAUUCCAAGUGUAGAGGUGAAAUUCGUAGAUAUUUGGAGGAACACCAGUGGCGAAGGCGGCUCACUGGCUCGAUACUGACGCUGAGGUGCGAAAGUGUGGGGAGCAAACAGGAUUAGAUACCCUGGUAGUCCACACCGUAAAACGAUGAAUGCCAGUCGUCGGGUAGCAUGCUAUUCGGUGACACACCUAACGGAUUAAGCAUUCCGGCCUGGGGAGUACGGUCGCAAGAUUAAAACUC